CAAACUUGGACGACAUGUGCAUGAUAAGUGAAGUGUGGAAACAAAUGGCAUUUUGAAAGUGGUAAUCGUUUCAGAGCAUCAUUUAGCUCCCCAAUUGGUUGCAGGACAUGUCUUCUACAAAUGGGUCUAAAGCCCCCAUCGAGAUCCCGAGAAAAUCUGCAUGAAUCUUCUUCGCAAUUGCUUUCCCCUCCUAAACAGUUAUGCAGAGGGAGGAAUUAAGGCAAAACACAUGGAUUCCCAACCCAACUUAACCAACCCUACAACUGGACAUCCGGGUCUGAACAACUCGAGUACAGCAGACUUUUUAAACUAAGUUUAUCCAUGUAUUAUAUUUGUUUAUAUUUUAUAACUUUGUCAUUAUUAUUUAACGUCAGACCCCCUUUGUGCCAUCAAAAUUUUAAAUGUAUCUUAGAAAUAAGUUAUUUAAUUAUUAAAUUGCAAAUUGCAAAAUUAAAACGUAA